AACGAACGCUGGCGGCAUGCCUAACACAUGCAAGUCGAACGAGACCUUCGGGUCUGCUUGCGCACGCGUGCGUCGCGCGUGGGAACCUGCCCUUAGGUUCGGAAUAACUCCCCGAAAGGGGUGCUAAUACCGGAUAAUGUCUUCGAACCAACGAUUUGUCGCCUUUGGGUGGGCCCGCGUUGUAUUAGCUAGUUGGUAGGGUAAAAGCCUAUCACGGCUACGAUCCAUAGCUGGUAAGAGAGGAUGGUCAGCGACACUGGGACUGUGACACGGCCGAGACUCUUACGGGAUGGAGCAGUGGGGGAUACAGGACUAUCGGCUGAGGGAUGAUGGAGUUAGGCUGGUAGAGUGAUGUAGGCCUGAGGGAAGUAAAGCUCUUUUAUACGGGACGGUAAUGACGGUACCGGGAGAAUAAGCACCGGCUAACUUCGUG
rnacentral:rRNA from 1 species